UACGAAGGGGGCUAGCGUUGCUCGGAACGACUGGGCGUAAAGGGCGCGUAGGCGGUUCGUACAGUCAGACGUGAAAUUCCCGGGCUCAACCUGGGGGCUGCGUUUGAUACGUACGGGCUUGAGUUCGGAAGAGGGUCGUGGAAUUCCCAGUGUAGAGGUGAAAUUCGUAGAUAUUGGGAAGAACACCGGUGGCGAAGGCGGCGACCUGGUCCGAUACUGACGCUGAGGCGCGAAAGCGUGGGGAGCAAACAGG
rnacentral:rRNA from 1 species